GGAGUUAGCCGGUGCUUCUUCUGUGAGUGAUGUCCUUCCUGCCGGCUAUUAACCCGCAGGCCUUCUUCCUCACUGAAAGUGCUUUACAACCCGAAGGCCUUCUUCACACACGCGGCAUGGCUGGAUCAGGGUUGCCCCCAUUGUCCAAUAUUCCCCACUGCUGCCUCCCGUAGGAGUCUGGGCCGUGUCUCAGUCCCAGUGUGGCUGAUCAUCCUCUCAGACCAGCUACGGAUCGUCGCCUUGGUGAGCCGUUACCUCACCAACCAGCUAAUCCGACAUAGGCUCAUCCGAUAGCGCGAGGCCCGAAGGUCCCCCGCUUUCCCCCGUAGGGCGUAUGCGGUAUUAGCCUGGGUUUCCCCAGGUUAUCCCCCACUACCGGGCAGAUUCCUAUGCAUUACUCACCCGUCCGCCGCUCGCCACCAGGGAGCAAGCUCCCCGUGCUGCCGCUCGACUUGCAUGUGUAGCNGCCGCCACGCGUCAUCUGAGCGAGAUACAACUACUGA
rnacentral:rRNA from 1 species